rnacentral:rRNA from 1 species
CCUACGGGGGGCAGCAGUGAGGAAUAUUGGUCAAUGGACGAGAGUCUGAACCAGCCAAGUAGCGUGAAGGAUGACUGCCCUAUGGGUUGUAAACUUCUUUUAUAAAGGAAUAAAACGCGGCACGUGUGCCUUUUUGCAUGUCCUUUAUGAAUAAGGAUCGGCUAACUCCGUGCCAGCAGCCGCGGUAAUACGGAGGAUCCGAGCGUUAUCCGGAUUUAUUGGGUUUAAGGGGAGCGUAGAUGGGUUGUUAAGUCAGUUGUGAAAGUUUGCGGCUCAACCGUAAAAUUGCAAUUGAUACUGGAAGUCUUGAGUACAGGUGAGGUAGGCGGAAUUCGUGGUGUAGCGGUGAAAUGCUUAGAUAUCACGAAGAACCCCGAUUGCGAAGGCAGCUUACUAAACUGUGACUGACAUUGAUGCUCGAAAGUGUGGGUAUCAAACAGGAUUAGAUACCCUAGUAGUC